UNCCUGCUGNGCCGMUUAUUAGAUUGCUUCUGAGAKUWGGGGUUUUACCCUCCGGGAUUAGUCCGCUAAUAGGCGAGAUANAUAAUUACUACGYCUAGAGUGUGAACCAACUCCGCCACUAACUUUGAGGAGCUACGUUACCGUAGGCUCCCAACACUAAGCAACUAAGGCUUAAGGGUUGAAAUGACGCUCGAACGGUCCUGCCCACUAGAAUACUAAUGGGCGCAAUAUGCGUUCAAAGAUUCGAUGAUUCACUGAAUUCUGCAAUUCACAUUACUUAUCGCAUUUCGCUGCGUUCUUCAUCGAUGCCAGAACCAAGAGAUCCGUUGUUGAAAGUUUUAACUUAUUUAGUUAUAGGUUCAGAAUUCAAUAUCAAACAGAGUUUGGUGGGCCGCCGGCAGGCUUACCCGCACCUCCCGGGUAAGUCUUACAGGGUAAGACUACGAGGUAGGCGCGACCUGCCGAGGCAACGUUAGGUAUGUUCACAUGGGUUUGGGAGUUAUAGAACUCUUUAAUGAUCCCUCCGCAGGUUCACCUACGGAR
rnacentral:rRNA from 1 species